UAUGUGAUCGUCUCUCGCAUAUCAAUAAGCGGAGGAAAAGAAACUAACAAGGAUUCCCCUAGUAACGGCGAGUGAAGCGGGAAGAGCUCAAAUUUGAAAUCUUAAAGGGUUUCCCUUUACGAAUUGUAGUUUAAAGAAGUGUUUUCUGUUGAGGUUUUGGUAAAAGUUCUUUGGAAUAGGACAUCAUAGAGGGUGAGAAUCCCGUAUUUGACCUUUACUUUCAACUUUGUGAUACACUUUCAAAGAGUCGGAUUGUUUGGGAAUGCAGUCCAAAAUGGGUGGUAAAUUUCAUCUAAAGCUAAAUAUUGGCGAGAGACCGAUAGCGAACAAGUACCGUGAGGGAAAGAUGAAAAGAACUUUGAAAAGAGAGUUAAACAGUACGUGAAAUUGUCAAAAGGGAAGCGUUUGACACCAGUGUUGUUUUUCUGAAAAUCAAUUAAAGAACUGUUUAUGCUAAGUUGUUUAGACUUUAUCAGCUAACUGUUUAGUUUUGAGCUUUUCUUUAAUGCACUUUUCAGUUAACAAGUCAACAUCAAUUUCUUUUGCUGUAAAAAAGCUUGAGGAAGGUGGCUUGAGAUUCGUCUUAAGUGUUUAUAGCCUCUUGCCUAUGCAGUCGGAGAGAUUGAGGUCUGCUAGCGUAGAUCCUUCGGGGCUAAAUGCAUUUGUGCUAAGUUAUAGCAUUUUAUAGACAACUUGUUGACUAUGAUUUGUCUUGUAGCUUACUCGCUUAUGUUAUUUUACCUACGCUUAGGAUGUUGAAGUCAUCGUAUCGCGC
rnacentral:rRNA from 1 species